rnacentral:rRNA from 14 species
UGAAACUGCGAAUGGCUCAUUAUAUCAGUUAUAGUGGUUUAUUUGAUAGUCCCUACCACUUGGCAUGAACAUACGUACAUAAUAUGUAUGUAAUGAUAACACGACCAGCCAUAAUAUAGG